AAGAGUUAGAAGAACUUCAUAAGUCUCUAAUUAUGGUGCCUUUGUGAACUUUCUCUGGUGUCCACAAAGCCUCUAAGCCCAGGGGUGCCAACUUGAAUAAAAUAUUGGAGGGGGAGGUAAGCCCUGCCUCAUAUGCACAGCAUUUGAAUGGCAAUGCCCAUCACCUUGAGGGAACUGGCCCCCUCAAAUAUUUUAGGGGGGGGGGGCUGAAGGGACCUUGACCCCUAGGAUUUGGCUCCUAUACCUGAGCCUCCAAUCUGCUCUGUAAAGCCACCUCUGCGGGUGUUAUGCUAGUGUCAGAUACAUAAUACGAACUGCUGCUUUUUCUGUGUGCAUAUCAUUCAAUGGCAAGCAUGACUCUAGAGGUCAAGCUAUGACGACAGUGGGGUGUUCAAAUCCCAAUAUAUUCUGCUUCAGCUAUCAAGCCAAUAAGUGUUGUGAAAAACAACCGGCAAUAAAAUUCAGGGCCGUUUCCUUAGCUGUUUUUGCUCUGUAAAAGUACAGUUCUAUUUAAACACGAAAGUCAGCAGUUGCAACUCUGAAUGCAGGCGGAAUGGGUCUGUUAUAUAAGGAAGUGUCAUUUCUGCAGUGAUGUUUUGUUGUUUUUGCAGAGUAGAGGUGUGCUUUAAUUUCUCACCACCCAGGGACAGCAAAAUGUUUAUGUAAAAGGACUUCUACUUCCUCCCCUGCUUUAUAAUAACUGCUUGCCUGUAGCUCCAUAGGGAAGCUAGAGAUUGGUUCUAACCGGGGUGGGGAUAAUGCUCCAGAUUUAAUCCUGACCAUAAGAAGGUAGAUCGCAAGGUGUAUGGUUGCAGAAUGUGUUUUCCUGAGAUAAGAAACACAAACCAUUUGGUAAUCUGAAACAUUCAAGGCUCAGCUUGGUGAGCUGAAGAAAUGCAGAUGGAAACAUGUCCAAAGAUUCGCCUUACAGUGGACACUGACUUAAAUGUCUUUUAGAAUACAAGGUUAUUGUCAUUUUUCAUUAAUGAACCCUCUGUGGACCCAAGCCUAGACUGAGUAUAGAAGCAGGAGCAUCGGAACAAUGAAAAAUACACAAUAAAGUAUUAUUAAUAUAUACAGUAAUAUAUUUAUUAUUUUGAAGUAAGACUCAGAAUAAGCAAUUUUCCUGUGUGCCUUGGAUACAUCUAUUUAUGCCUGUGUUUAUUUCUUUAUUUUCUGACAUUUGUACCCAACCUUUCUUCCAUCAUGAACCCCAAGACACCAUAUAUAUUAUUUAUAUCGAUAGCUCAUUUUUUCCAAAGAAUGUAUCCUGUGCUAUUCAGAGACAUUAAAAACUGAUAUAAAAGCAACCUAAAAUACAAUAAUAUGCAUAAAAGAGCAAUUCCAACUCAAAUUCACUGCACUAAAAUAAUAUGUGGAGAGUUAAGCUACAAAGGCAUGGCUGAAUAAAAAUGUUUUUACCUGGCACUUAAAAGCAGAUAAGGGCAGAUGGAGCAAAGCAGAGCCGGCUCAAGACAUUUUGACACCUGAAGCCAGUCACAAAAUGGCGCCUCCCCAGCCAGGGAAGAUGGGGUGAUCUACAUCAGGAACAAGAGAGAGAGAGAGAGAGAGAGAUCUGCAUAAGGAACAAAUGGGAAGGGAAGAUCUACAUCGGGAACAAGAGGGAGAAUCGAAGCAACCUUACCUGAUGGUUUAAGUGAGAAUCAAAUUCUGUUGGGAUGGGGCGAAUGCUCUGAAUCACGCUGGAUGUAUGCAAAGCCCAGGAGACUCCAGAGGGCAGACCCUGCCAUUUCUUCCCUAGGGGUUAGAGUGCCUCUCCAGGGUCUGGCUAUGAUGUUUCUGGUAUUCACCAGGACACUGCUGUAGAAGCUGCGUUGUAGGGGCUGCUGAGGAGAUAGCAGAUCCUGCUGUGGCAGCAGCAGCAGCGGGUGAUGCAUUCCUUGGAGGCCAAAUAAUAAUAAUAAUAAAUAAUAAUUUAUUAUUUGUACCCCGCCCAUCUGGCUGGGUUUCCCCAGCCACUCUAGGCAGCUUCCAACAAAGACCAAAAAUACACUAAAAUGUCACACAUUAAAAUCUUCCCUGAACAGGACUGCCUUCAGAUGUCUUCUGAAUGUCAGGUAGUUGUUUAUGUCUUUGACAUCUGAUGGGAGGGCGUUCCACAGGGCGGGUGCCACUACCGAGAAGGCCCUCUGCCUGGUUCCCUGUAGCUUUGCUUCUUGCAAUGAGGGAACCGCCAGAAUGCCCUCAGCGCUGGACCUCAGUGUCCGGGCAGAACGAUGGUGGUGGAGACGCUCCUUCAGGUAUACUGGGCCGAGGCCGAGGAUCUGCUGCUCCUAUGGAUCCUGCCACCUGAGGCAUUGCUACACCUUGCCUCAUGGGUGGGCUGGCUCUGGAGCAGAACAUUCUUCAAAUGGGCAGUCACCCUCCACACCUUCCUCAGAGUCAGGGCUUUUUUUCCAGCCAGAACUCCCUUCCAUCACCUCUCAGAUGGGUGCCUUUGCCAUUAUAAGAGAACAUGGUGAGUUCUGGUGCUUCUUUAAGCUAUUUUUCUAUAAAAAGAAGAAAAAAGAGGACAUACACAGAGUAGGGCCUCAGAUAUGAACAAAGGGUACCAGGAGUUGCUCCAAAAUCGAACUCCAACUCUUUUGGACAGCAAUCAUAUAAGAAAUAUGCAAAAUAACUAAAGUAUUAGAAGUCACCCCAGAACUGGCCCUACUAAACAUCUUCCAAAAUAUUAAUGCCCACUCACACCAUAAAGAGCUCAUAACCCACCUACUCUUGGCAGCCAGAAACAUCAUAGCUAGACACUAGAGAGAUCUGCCAGGAGUAAGCAUGGACCAAUGGUACCAAAUAGUAUGGGAAACAGCCUUAUUAGGAAAAUCUAACCAAUAAACUGAAACUGACACAGGGCCAAAUAGAAGAAGACGCCUUCACCCUGGUUUGGUUCCCCUUUAUCACAAACACAGCCCAACAAGACAACGACAAGAAUCCGCCAACAGCAUACGAAUCAAUAUGGCUAACCUGAUCCAAAAAUACACACACAAAACCAACUCUCACUACAGCCAACCAACUAUCUCACCACCAAGGAAAUACAACAAGUGAAUAGUAAGAGAACCCAUAUAAGUAACGCUGACACAACCCACCCCCCAAGUAGAAGAAUAGAAGCAUAAUCACCCGACUCCACCCCACUCACCAUUCCAUCUCCCCCUCAUCCCCCCUUUUCUUUCUUUCUUUUUCUUUCAUUCUUCUUAAUUGUUUAAACCAAUUCCUGAACCAGGAACCUGUACAUUGACCACUAAAAAUGAAACAUAUGUUGUAGAUACUUUCCCACAUUUAUUAUGCUAUUUUUGUGAUAUACAAAUGACAUGAGAAAACUUGGUAUACUUGUUUGUAUAACAUUAUUCUUGUUUAUAACCCCCUCCCCCAAAAGAAAGGGUACCAGGAGGCAAAUGUUUCCUAGGAGGUUUCCUAUCCAGGCACUGAGUAGGCCCAGACCUACUUAGGUUUAGCAAGGCAAUACCUUCACGUGACUCUGGGGCAGACGUGUCACAUAUAAAGCCUUAAAUUAAAAUGUUAAGUACUAUUGUUUAGCAAAAGAGCAUAAUUCACUUCAGCUCCAUUUGCAGCGCUCCCGCUAUUAUCAAAUGGGCUUUAACGGAGGAGGGAAAAAGCCCAAUGAAUUGCGCCUUUUUGCUUUACAUCUGUAUGCCUCAAGUAAAUGGUUGAUGGACCAUGAGAAUCCUACAUGAAUGAUGAAUUACUAGCUCUGAAACCAACAACUUGUUAGCAAUCACUCCUGUUCCUAAACUCAAAAAUGACUGCCUUUGUGUUUGCCGAUUUAAUGACUAUCCUUCUUGGGAGCACAGUCUGUUGUGCUUUUCCAUACACUGUAUCACCAAAGCAGAAUGAUUAUAUAUAGCACAUAUGUGGGCGAAAAUACCAAGUGUGUGGCGUGGGACACAUUUUCUUCUGAGAAACUGCAGUAUAGCUGUAUCAGCGUCAAAAAAUUCAGGCACAAUAUUUAUGUAUUAGCUGAUGCUUCAUCUAUGUGCAUAUGUGUAUGUUUGGAUAUAAUUAAGUGUUUAAAAAGAAACAAAACUAAAUAGCCGCUAUUAAUAAUGGUUCAUUGG